CUACAGACUUACCUGAAAAAGCUGUGUGGAUGUCUCAAAGCAGCAGCUGGGUGCCAGAUGAUGAGGAUCCUGUAGAGACAGAAUGAGAGAUGCAUCAGAAGCGCCUCUGGGAUGUUACCAGACGUCCUCAGGUAUCAGACUCACCAACUCAGAGUUCUUCCUCAUUACCUUACUUCAGCUUCCCAGGUAUCCCUGCCCCUCGCUCUCCUUGGACUUGUAGCUAAGAUUUUACAAGACCUUUUAUCCUUCAGAUGGAUGCCUUGGAAACAGCUUUGGGGGCAGUGCUGUGUCAAGACAGAGAAGGUGCUGAGAAACUCAUUUCUAAUGCAAGUAGAAUACUGAACACUGCCGAUAAGAGGUAUGCUACUGUAAAAAGGCAAUGCCUAGCGAUCAAGUGGGUGGUGGAGUAUUUUAGAUAUUAUCUAAUAGGAGA
rnacentral:lncRNA from 1 species